GUGACAUGAUGAUCCAGUUUAUCCAUUCGCUGAGCUGUGACCACUGGCCCGGGCCACUGCCUCUGCUUCCCGUUCUGGGAGCAGGGCCUCUCCUGGGGUGACUGUCUUCUCUGAGCGUUCUGCCUAGUGAAGACUCACUGUGUGGAGAUGAGGCUCGAGCCAGGGUUGUCAAGAUGAUUGCUCUUUCUGAUCAC